rnacentral:rRNA from 1 species
GUGGGGAAUUUUGGACAAUGGGCGCAAGCCUGAUCCAGCAAUGCCGCGUGCAGGAAGAAGGCCUUCGGGUUGUAAACUGCUUUUGUACGGAACGAAACGGUCCUGGCUAAUACCUGGGGCUAAUGACGGUACCGUAAGAAUAAGCACCGGCUAACUACGUGCCAGCAGCCGCGGUAAUACGUAGGGUGCGAGCGUUAAUCGGAAUUACUGGGCGUAAAGCGUGCGCAGGCGGUGCUGUAAGACAGGCGUGAAAUCCCCGGGCUCAACCUGGGAAUUGCGCUUGUGACUGCAGUGCUGGAGUGCGGCAGAGGGGGAUGGAAUUCCGCGUGUAGCAGUGAAAUGCGUAGAUAUAUGGAGGAACACCAGUGGCGAAGGCGACGAUCUGGGCCUGCACUGACGCUCAGUCCCGAAAGCGUGGGGAGCAAAUAGGAUUAGAAACCCCGGUAGUCC